GAAUGGUAAAAAAUCAGCGUGGGGUUCCAUAAAAAAGCCUCGCCCAUGCAGCAUGCUCGCAGAUCAGGAGAUGCUAUUUUAGUGUUGUAUAAGACGCCGCUGAAGAGGACUUUGAAGAGGCGGACCAUUCAGAGAGCGCAAGAUGAGAUUAUACUACUAUGGGUAUCUUCUAAGCAUCCUUUUGGGAUCCAAUUUUGGCGAAACCAUCAAAGGAAAAAUAGGAGAGGUUUACAUCCGAAAAAUCGACUACAGCAAUUCGUUUACAAUAGAAUUUUCAAAAGAGCAGUUAAGUCCUCAUCAACCAGCUCGAGUCCACGCUCACAAGAUCUACACAUCAGACGAUGCUGAUAAUGAGGACCCUGUGUUUGUGGUGAUUAGGCAAGAGCGGGACGUCGUCUCGUGGGAAUUACCAUAUUUAAGUGAAAAUGGGCAGUUAUACAACUUUGCGUCUCGCUCGACCUGUCCAUAUGAAAACGACUCUUUGGUGGUGAUUGUGUCAACGCCGAGUGUUCAAGGAGUCAAAAUCGAAGUGCAUGUUGGUCAGCAGACGUUUUACAAGGUGCCACUAAAUUCAGCUAUUCGAACGCACGCGGCCCCCACGGCACCUCGCUACUUCCGAUUUGAUUUUCCACAAGGUGUGGACAAUGUCCUGCUGGAAGUCACAAGCCCAAACGACACCUGUGCCUCGUUGAGUCUCUUCAAAUCGUGCUCAAUUCAUCAGCUAGUGGAAUUCUCAACACAUAGAGACAGCUACAGACAAACAAUAACUAGAAAUGGAGGAAUGAUGAUCAAUCGAAAAAUGUUUGUGAAAGGCUAUUUCUAUAUUGGGUUUGUCGUUUUCUCCGACGAUCAGCAAUGCUUGGAUGAUUUUAUACAGCCCGACUUGAAUGGGUCCAUCAUACUAGAUUCUGUGCGCGUGAAAAAUCUGACGCUGAGCUUCAGAGACAUUUCGCACGUUAGAUCUUCUGUCAUUGUGAUGGCCACUUGUGGAUUCUUUUUGAUACUGGCUUUACUUGGCACCAUUGCUUGGGCCAUCUACAGUCGCUGCUGCAAAGAAAAGGAAUUACACGUCAAUGAAGAAAAUAAUACUGAUGACCUUUUGCAACCUAAAGAAGAGGAAUUGAAUGGAGACGCAGGUGACUCAACAGCAACAGCAGGACCAUCAAAUAUUCAAAACGAGACUGUAAUAUCCCCUGGGAAACAUAUUCUAGACCAUUCGCUUCCAAUUGGUCAGAAAAGCGUGAUGCAAAAAUUGAGCGACAAAAUUAAAAACGGGGAAAAAUUGUACCUAUCCGACUUGAUGUGGUACGACUCAAAAGAACUGACCGAUCCAAAAAGCUUCUACUCGUGGAUUUUGGUCGCCAUCAUCAUUUACAAUGGCAUACCCGUCAUUUAUAUGGUCAUUGUUUAUCAGCUGAACAUUCACAAAACCGGCGAUAUGGAUUGGUGUUAUUACAAUUUCUACUGCUCGCACCCUCUGAUGUUUCUCUCGGACUUCAACCACGUUGCCUCAAAUAUUGGCUACGGAUUCCUGGGACUGAUUUUCAUAUUUAUUGUAAAACAACGACACAACAACUUUCUCAGUGGGCCUUUGAGAUAUCAUUACCUUGGCGUGCCGCAACAAUUUGACCUUUUCUACACCAUGGGUUGGGCGCUCUUUGCUGAAUGCAUCUGCAGCUCCUGCUACCACGUCUGCCCCAACAGGUUCAACUUCCAAAUAGACACGUGCUUCAUGUACGUAAUAGCAGUGAUGUGUGGAAUUAAAUUAUAUCAAAAACGCCACCCUUGCGGUGCAAUGGAUGCCAAAAAUGCCUUUUUCUUCCUGGCCAUCCUGAAUGUUAUUAGUUGGCUCGGAGAGUUACUUGGAAAUUACUUAAUAACGUGGAUUGUCUUCAGUCUUUUGUACUUGUGCGUCAACAUCUUCUGCUGCGUCCACGUGUACUACAGUGGUUGCUGGAAGUUCCGAAAACCAACGAAGACGUUGUUCCGAGAAAUCAGCGCCAACAACUGGUGCAUCAAAUACAAGGACAGAUUCACCUAUACAACUAUUAUAUUUGGGCUGAACUUCAUCCUACUUGUGUUUGGGCUGGUGGUGCGGCCUGAUGAUUUUGCUUCGCACCUUCUCGCCAUCCUGAUUGCAAACCUUUUUGUUUGCACCGUUGUGUAUUUAGUGGUCAAGAGCACUGUCGAAGGCAAUCGCCAGUGCUGCUGCUGCAAUUGCCUUUUCUGCUGCCGUUUGAAGCCAGUGAUUUUAUUAGUCAUCAGCGUCUGCUUUUGGGUCCCCGCAGUUUAUUUUUUCGGACUGAACAGCAGCGCAUGGGAGGAAACGCCAGCCGUGUCUCGCACCUUCAACAAGCACUGCAAACUUCUUGACUUUUUUGACUACCACGAUUUAUGGCACCUACUCUCCUCCUUUGGUCUUUUCUUUUACUUUUGGUUUCUUCUGAUCAUUGACGACGACCUCAAGGAAACACUAAGAUCGAAAAUUCAAGUCAUUUUAUAAUUAAAUUAAUCGCAGUUUAUUUCAAUCAAAACUUAUCGAUGAAUAAUAACAGAAGAUAAUUCUAAAGAAAAUUAUGCGUAAUAAAAGUUGCAAAAAAGUCUGCUGGUGACCAGCACUGAUUGUGAGACAAUUGUGCUAAAACUAAGGAAAAAAUUAAAUUUUCGGACUUUUGUAGUUAUAAUAUUAAUUAAUAGUCAUGGACUUGGUUUUGAUAGCAAGGAACAUACCCUUAAAAACUGUUCUCAACUUUAUUUUACACUAAAAAAAAAUUUAAAAGAUGAUCGUAUUAGGAAUUUGCAGCGUUAGAAUAGGAUUAAUAUAUUAGCAAAUUUAAAGCGAUUUAAUAGUUAAUUAGUUAGUUUAUAGUAUGUAUACUUCACAUUCUGUUAAUAAUGAUUCAAAAUUAAAUGAGAAUUACUUUAAGUGUGAUAAAUUUGGUUAGAAAUUAGUCAGUGAUAAUGUGGGCCUCUAAUAUGACUUUAAAUGAACAAGCUUCCGUUUCAUUCUUGUCAUUAUAAUGAUAAUGCCAUAUGAGAAUUCACCUUGGGACUUGCAGGAAAUGAAGGUGAUAAUAUGAUUAAUUCGCCUCAUUCACCUGUCAAAAUUCAGUACCUAUCACUCAAUUACCUAUUGUACCUGAUAAAGGUACAAUCCAGUGCGUGAAUGCCAACAAUGAAGUUUAAACUUUCCUUCUGCCUGCUGGUGUUCGCCUUUUUUAUUUACGUGAGCCGCUUUUUUUUAAAUAUUAAUGAUUUUAACUAUUUUAAGGCAUCUAUAAAGGCGUCAAAUGCAAAAAACGUGAAGAUUAUUGUAAGGAAAAAUGUUAUAAGACCUUUGGGUGUGUGUUAAUUUGUGGAUUAAUGUUGGAAAAUAAAAAUUGUUUAAAUUUUGAAGCGAUCAAACAAGAUUCAGCGCAGAACCGUUUUUGGAUAACCGUCCAGAAACAGAGAAAAUUGAUUGCACAUUGCUGCGGCACUACGGGAUCGUGCUUUUCAAUUAAUUCAACCAGAUCUACUCCGCCUCCAGAUGAAGAAACAACUUAUUACAAAUUGUUGCAAACCACCACCUCGCAAAAUCUGGUGUCCGAAACCAAGGAAAUUAUAGAUAACGUGGCAUUACUAUCCACAGACAAUACAAUAACAUUUCCAUCGGAAGAUACAUCAUUGGAAACACCCGCAGGAAAAAGUACGCUGGAUUUUAAAACAUCCAGCAGCAUAGAAAUAACAGUGCAUUCCACGCUAUUAAACAAAAUGUCGACAAUUCCGGCUACAGAAAAAACUACAAGGGAAAAAGUUUCCCCAUCUUUGACAAUUGAAGAUACUUCUACAUCAACUACAGCAUCGUCAACUCCCACAAUAUUAGAUUUAACUCCAGCAACAUCCAAUUUAGGAGAAACUUUGACCAUCAAAAAUGAGACUACGGGUACUAUAACGUCCAAUUCUUUUACACAACUUC